GAUCCGGCUCAGGAUGAACGCUAGCGACAGGCCUAACACAUGCAAGUCGAGGGGCAUCAGGUAUCAGCUUGCUGAUACGCUGGCGACCGGCGCACGGGUGAGUAACGCGUAUGCAAUCUGCCUGUAACAGGGGGAUAACCCGGAGAAAUCCGGCCUAAUACCCCAUAAGGAUGUCUGUCCGCAUGGGCGGUCAUCUAAAGGUUUUCCGGUUACAGAUGGGCAUGCGUUCCAUUAG
rnacentral:rRNA from 1 species